GGGGGUUAGGGUUAGUAAAACAAAAAGACUUAUACGUAAGAAGAAGAACCAGAAAAAGAAGAAGAAGAAGAAUAGUGACAGAUACACAGACAGUUAAAGAUGAGUGAUGACUAGCUAGUAAAACUCUCAAUCCACUAUGGUGGAACGAUGAAGAAAGAAGAUGAUGGUUACAAUUAUAUUUGUGAAUUGGGUUGUAAGAGCAUUUCCUGGAAACUUUCUGAGAUUCGAUGGCUGAAGUUUGAAAAAUUCAUUCAAUCUGUAGAUGUUACGACACCUAUUAGCUUAGUAUGGUUUAAAGAAGCAAGUGAGGAAACGAAAAUGAUGAAGUAUGUGUUUGAUAAGACUAGUGAUGACAUGAUGUAGCUGCGUUUUUCUGCAGAAGCAGCCGGUGAGGUUGAUGUGUAUCUUGAACAUGAUUGUAAAUGGGAAGUUGAUGGUGGAUAUGAACCUGAUGAGGAUGAGAUAAGAGCAGAAGAAGGAAGUGAAUAUGGCAAUGACAAUUCAGAUGAAGAUGAUAAGCCACCAAAAGAAGAUGAUGAGCCUGAGGAAUCUGAAGACGAAACACCUGCAGGUGAUGGUGAAAAUGAAAAGGGGAAAUUUGGUGAUGAUUUAGAUGAAAUUCAAGAACAAGAGACUGUAAAUCAGAAUGGGUCAUAGGGUUUGAAUGCAAAUCAAAUUGAGGUUGAUGAUGGGGAUGAGGUUGUUAUAGAUGCAGGAAAUGGUCGUGAUGAUGAUAGGUUUCAGUCCGUAUUUGAGGAAGGUUCAAGGAGAAAUGCAGAGUUAGAUAAUGCAACUCGAAAACUGGCGGAAGAGCAAGCAACAGAAAGAAGGGAAGAGGAAGUAGAGUUCAAAGACCAAUUGCUCAGAUACUCAUUAAAUACUCAGUAUGAUGUUAAAAUGGCAAAGUCAUAAGCAAACAGGAUUGCUGCUGUUUGUUGCAAGGAUAAAUGUCCAUGGAAAUUUUUUUGCUCAGUUGAGCUUCCAAUAAACAAGUGGAUGGUUAAAUUAUGUCACUACAAGCACAACCAUGGGAAGUUUAGCAGAGUUUCAAUGCUGAAGCAAGGUGUUAUAGCAGGCUUAUUCAGAGAGGAGAUAAGAAGGAAUGUCAAUUUAUCAGCUGCAGAUAUAAAGGACAUCAUCAAACUUGUUUUGGGGUGUUGCAUACAACUACCAUCAAGGGGAGUAUGAGGAGAAGAUGAAGUUGGUGUAUGCGUAUGAUCUUGUUGUCUAUGAGGCUUUAUUAAAUUAUGAACCAGAGAAGUGGUGUAGAGCAUUCUUUAAUCCUGAGUCUCAUUGUGCUGAUGUGCACAACAAUCUUUCAGAAGCAUUUAAUAGAACAAUUAAGAUAGCAAGAAGUAAGCAUGUCAUUACCAUGUUGGAAGAUAUUAGAAGACAAGCCAUGGUUAGGAUUUCACGUAGGUGGGCAAAAGCAGAUAAGUGUAAUUCCUUUCUCACACCAAUCACAAUGGCAAUAUUGGAGAAAGCACGGGUUGAUAAGAAGUAUUGCAGCACAUUACGCAGUAGCUCCUAUAUUUAUGAGGUAAAUGAGUUUAAUGUUGGAUAUACAGUUGACUUAGCAAGACACCAAUGUGCAUGCCGAAGAUGGGAUCUUACAUGAAUACCAUGCAAACAUGAUGUAUGCGUAUUAGAUGACAACCAAGAUGAUCCAGAGAAAUAUGUGGCUAGCUAUUAUGAAACUUCAUGCUUCAAGAACACAUAUGUGGAAAAUAUCAAACCUGUCAAUGGUGAGCAGUUCUGGAGUAAAACAGGGAAACCUCCUAUUGCAAUUCCAAACAUUCGUAAGCCAAGAGGUCGGCCAAAGAAACGUGAUAGGAAGAAAGAGCCCGUUGAAUCACUUAAAAAUCAUGGAAAAUCAACAAGACAUGGUAGGAUACCACAUUGCAGCCGUUGUGGUCAAGCUGGACAUAUCAAGAGUGGAUGUAAAAAUGAACCAGCGGUUGUGGAGGGACCAAAAAACAGGCGUGGUAGACCACACAAAC